GCCUUAGUAGCUUAAUUCAAAGCAUCGGUCUUGUAAUCCGAAGACCGGAGGUUAAAAUCCCCCCUAAGGCC
rnacentral:tRNA from 1 species